rnacentral:rRNA from 1 species
UACGUAGGGUGCAAGCGUUAAUCGGAAUUACUGGGCGUAAAGCGUGCGCAGGCGGUCUUUUUAAGUCAGAUGUGAAAUCCCCGGGCUUAACCUGGGAACUGCGUUUGAAACUGGAAGGCUUGAGUGUGGCAGAGGGGGGUGGAAUUCCACGUGUAGCAGUGAAAUGCGUAGAGAUGUGGAGGAACACCGAUGGCGAAGGCAGCCCCCUGGGCUAACACUGACGCUCAUGCACGAAAGCGUGGGGAGCAAACAGG